rnacentral:sRNA from 1 species
UUGUUCUGUCUGCCAGAUGGUCAGUAUUCCGACAGUGUGGGACAAAGGAAAAACGGCAGCCUGGGCAACCCCGCCUCUAUAAGAACUAAAAAAUUAGCCAGGCGUGGUGGUGCGUGCCCCUGUAGUCCCAGCUACUCGGGAGGCUGAGGUGGGAGGCUCUCUUGAGCCCGGGAGGUCAAGGCUGCAGUGAGCCGUGAUCGUGCCACUGCACUCAGCCUGGGCAACAGAGUGAGACCCUGUCUCAAGAAAGAAAAACGAGAAAGAGAGAGUCCCUCCACUGUAAGGAGAUCGGGUUCGUUGCACUUUGGGGUGUUGGAGAAAAAUACUGAGUCAGCACCUGUGAGGGAUUGGUGGGAGCAGAUUUGGUGUUUUCCACCCCUUCAGAGGAUUCUGAGGUAACUCAGCUCUGUUGGCCUUGGCCUUGUAUGGGAGGAUUUCCCUUGUAUGGGGAGGAUUUUCCCUCUAGCUUGUGGGAAAGGAAUCAAGGACCAGAGACAGGCAGGGGAGAGUAUCACUGAGGGAUUUACGGCAGCAGCCUCUGCACGGCUUCCCCAGCUGCUUGCCGGACGCUGCUGGAGAAACAGCACUUCCCAAGAACAUCAUGGCCCCAGCAUCCUCUUGAACUUAGUAACAGUUGGCCCGACAGAUGAAGUGGAUAUCAUCCCUGCCUUAGAAGUUCUCUAGCCCCUUUCUUAGAGAUAAGCUGCUUUUUUGUUCCUAAAAGAAGUCAUGGCUGUUCAGGUGAGAAGAACGGUUUAGUCAGCAUCUAUGCAACACUGUAGAGAUGCUUGGUGAGAGGUGUUGGGACGCAGGAGAGUGGCAGACCGCAGGGCCCGAGGUAAGGUUUCUUGUCCAUCUCUGGAACUUUGGCUUUUUGCACCCUGUAAAGUCACGUCCCUUUUUUUCUGGUGCUUUGGUGGUGAUGUAGGGAGAGGUGAGGAUGAGAAGAGGGGCCACGUCCCAUGGAUUCCCAGAUCCAGACUCCUCUUCCCUGGGAAAACUGGAUUGGAGCUGGCCCCUCCUGUGCCUUCAGGGGCUGUGGAGGAGGAGGCCCCUGCAGGGAGCUGCCUGGGGUGAGCGCUGGGGCUUUUCCUGCAGUGCACUAGCAGCAAGUCAUAAUGGAAAGUGGCUGGAUUAAGGGCCAUCCAUAUCUGGCCCUUAGUUCUUCCUCUGCCAUCACCUGGCUCUGUGACCAUUUUCUUUCCAGUUGUAAUCAAUGGUUAAGAUUUAUCCUAGCAACAUUGUAGGGGUACACAGCCAAAUGAUUCAGGAAAAAAGAUGCAGGUUGAGUCUGGAGGAAUCCCUGUGCCAGCUUCCUCAUGCUCCCUCCCUCCCUCAGAAAUCACAUGGAACCCAUUCUCCCCUCAGCAGUGAAAAUGCAUUCAGCCUGUGUGCAGUGUUUCUGCCCAGGGAAGCCCAGUAGGGACUCCAUGCCCAGGGUUUUUACUGGGAGCUGGUUAUGUAGACACCACCUGCCUAGCACGCACCAAAAUUCCAGACUCUCAGGAAAACAGGUUCCUGUGCCACAUUAUUUGCACGGAGAGACUAUGUCCAGUGAACAGCUCCGAUCAGUAAACUGUUGACUUGUAACAUCCCGAGAGCCAAGUUCCCAGAUACCAGCCAAGGGCCAUCUGACCUGUUUUGAAUCUCAAUUUCCUGAUACAGAAAACAAAGGAUUGUCAGCUGACCUCUGUCCUGUGUGCCCAGUGGCCCCAGGUGACGUGUCUUCAAGAAGAGGCUGAGCUGUGGUGCUUGUAAGGUCUCAGCCUUAGAUCCAAGGACAGUCCAAGGAAGUCCUAAGACCGUGGAGUUGGUGACCUGGGAUCUGGGUUUGCUGGUAUUUCUCACCAUGAAUCUCUUGGUGGUGUUUGUGGGCACCAGAGGGGCAGAGAAUAGAGAGUGAGGCUACCACAUGAAGCGUCACCAGAGCUGCUCCCUGCUGCCUGCUCAGAGCACCCUGGAUCCACUGUUCAAUCUGCACAAGAUUCGGGGUCCAGACAUGGGAGACUUCAGCUGCCUCGGAGGACCGUGGACAGGGAAGGCCAGCCUCGCAUCCCUCUGUCCAUGCCUGGAAUGACUUAACCAAGAGUUUUAUUCUUGAAUUUGUAGCUGUUGUUCACUUUUUACCCACCCAUUCAAUAAACCUUACAGAAUUGC